rnacentral:lncRNA from 1 species
GAUUACAACUAUUACAAAGAAAAGUUGCGACCUGAAAGUAUUCCCUUACAACUCAAUAUACUACUUCAGGUCAAAAAACAAACAUAAACAGGCUCGUAGAAAAAUAAACAUAUGUGGUUGUGGCCUAAAAGCAAGCCACUAAUAACAUAGUACCUACUUAGUUGACGGAUUAAAAGCACAAUAGACACUGCUUGUAUAGAACAGUGCAAGCUACAUAAUGGGAAAUUCAGCAAUUUACGAACCAUGACAGCAAGAGUUCAUGUGGGUAAUUCAGCAAUUUACGAAUCAAUGUGGUAUGAGCUCAAUGGUCAGUUUAGCAAUGUACAAAUUGAAAGGGCAAGAGCAUCUAAGAAGAACAUUAUUUGCAUUUUCGUCUUCGCAAGCAGUUAACAUAUGGAGAUCGCAGACAGUUACCAGAACCAUGACUACAAACACUGAUGUAUCUUGGACAAAUCUACUCGCAGCACCAGCCAUCCAUGAUGUCGCCUCCUUCUCGGUAGUGCUGGAACGGAUGAGUGUGGCGCCUCACAUUAAAUUACACACAACAAUACGUACACCAUUCGCGAGACAGGAGUACAUAAAUAGUUGAAUAAGUGCAGAAAAGGAGGCUGAAAAAUGGUUAGAGCUAAUCUAUGCAAUAUAGGAAUAAAUAAAUAAUCACCUCAACAUAAAUAGUCUUAGUUGAAGGUAAAACUCAAUGAUGUACUAUGAAUGUCGAGACUGGCACAUUGAAAACUACCAAAUGGCAUUGAGUAUUUCUUUCUUCGGAAACCUUCGCACAAACUAACAGUGAGCCUCUAGUUAACGAAUGACAAAUAUGAUGAUUAACAGUGAGCCGCUGCCGGUGUAUAUGUGUGUGUGCUUGCUGCAAGCUUUAGUAUAUGAAUGUUUGCACAUGAACAUGCAUAAAGCUCAGGUGUAGGUUGCAUCUAAAUGGGGUAUUGGGAUUCAGUUUUAUUUUCACUAUGAUGUACAGCGGUAGUAGAUAAGUACCUUUUUUAGAUUAGUAGAUAAGUACUUGGUAUAGAUGAAUCCUUUGCAUUGACUUGACCCAAGUGCAUAUAUAAUAACUGCAUGCUAUGAGAGCAGUGGCGGAGCAUGACACAAGAGGGGGCCAAAUCCAUCUAAAAACACACAAUAUGCACGAAAAAGCUACUCAUCAUAGAACAUGUGUAAGCGAUAAUUUGUAGGGAUCCUAUAAUUAUAUGACUAGAUAAUAUGUCGUUUCCAUUGUUGCUAUAUAUCUAAAUCAGGAAUUUAUAAUGAAUCAAACUUUCCAGCAUUUAGCAGAUGCAGUGGACAUCUAUAUGAAUAAAUUAUCAUCACACCUCGCUUCUCAGUUACCCUCUCAGUUCCAAUCAAAAAAUAGGACAUACACUUUCUGUAGUAAACUAACCAAGCAAUUAGCAAGGCAAGCACGAAGCACCAACCAGCAGUGUCCAAGGUGUUUGGUUUCAAUCAACAAAGGAGCCGCAACCCAGCAAGAGAAUUAAGGUCCAGUGCGCACUAGUGCUGGUGCGUCCACCGUCCGGUGUGGUGGCUUGCCGGCGUCAGCGGCGUGCAGCUCCAAGCCUCCAAUCGAUAAGGGGAUACACAAAUCGAUAAAGAGGAGGAGCCAAGGAGGUCAUCAGACGAAUGGACGAGUUUGCAGUGGUCGGUCACUCAAAUCAUGUUAGCGGACGAAGAGCGACCGAUGGUUCACAAUAGUUGUGGCCUGGUAGUGAUCUAGCCCUGCAGCAGCAGUCUAUCGGAGCCGUGGAGAAUCAGGGAUGGACGCUGUUCCUAGACUUCUACCGGGCAUUAUCUCCUGGGCUAUGCUAAAGUAGUGAAUAUACCUAGUAUAAAAUUCUUUUUGUAAUUUUGGAAGGGGGGGUCGUGGCCCAGUUUCACCUCCACUACCCUCCGCCAGUGUAUGAGAGGACAAUCACAUAACCAAAUGACAAAGAAAAUGUCUACUAUCUUAUUUAUCAGUGUUCUGAAUCAUAUCAACAGCAUCAAAGCAACAUCAUAGAAGAAACAAUGUGGAUUAUUAAUUCACCUGCUCACUAAACACAAAGGUGUACGUGCUUUCCCCAACAGGUCCACGUCCUCUAGUAUUUGAGCUGGACGUGAAAGCUACCAUUAGCAAGCUACUACCUCCACCUAAAUAACCUGACCAUCAGACUCCUGAAAAGUGUGAAAUUGCAACAAAAUCUUCGAUUAGUAACUCAUCAAAACUGCAAUACAGAGACCUAUUAAAACUGGAUCCCUCCUUAAAUAUUGUAACUCUUGUAAUAGACUAUUUAAUAUGGGGUCCGCAUAGAUGAAGUAGUGGUUCUCUACAUUAAAAAAACUAGAAAGGAUUAACGAC